rnacentral:lncRNA from 1 species
UAAUUUCCCCAUGGAACCAUUAUCUUCCUAGAGCCUCUGUCUGUCUGUCUGUCUGUCCUUCUUAUACAUGCACACCAUGUUCCCUGCCCCUAGGCUUCAGCAAUAAUCGUUCUUUACUGCCAUCCUCAAUUCUUAAUCAUUGACUAGAGCUGGUCAGGUGGGGUCCAGUCACUGAUGAAUGCAAGAAUCAUGUGGUCUGUGGAACAGAUGCCAAUAGAGACUCCUCUGCCCUCUGCCCCCACCUCUGCAGCCUUUCUGCCUUGGGCUCCUUUCCAGGCUCCACCCACCCUUGCUACUGACCCUCCCCCACACUCCCACCCCAGUUUUGAGACUCUCACUAGCCUUUGAGGUUAAUCUGGGACUUGCUAUAUAACUCAGGCUAUUCUCCCAGCCUCUCUGUUUGUUUAUACUAGAAUAAACACACACACACACACACACACACACACACACACGCACACGCACACGCACACGCACACAUAUACAUACAUGAUGGUACAUGCCUACAAUCCUAGCACUCAGGAGGUAGAGGCAGGAGGAACAGAACUCAACGUCGUUCUCAGUUACAUCAUCAUCAUCAUGGAUGGAUGGAUGGAUGGAUGGAUGGAUGGAUGGACAAGGGAUGGAUGGAUGGAUGGAUGGAUGGACAAGGGAUGGAUGGAUGGAUGGACAAGGGAUGGAUGGAUGGAUGGAUGGAUGGACAAGGGAUGGAUGGAUGGAUGGACAAGGGAUGGAUGGAUGGAUGGAUGGAUGGAUGGAUGGAUGGACAAGGGAUGGAUGAACAGGCAAAUGUGCCUGUAGGGGUGACCCUGAGUAGCAAUUCUCACCAGGAGACAGCAAUGGUCCUAUGCUUGCUGCCAUCACAUCCAAAGACUGGCUGCGGGAGGCAGAUGAUCCAGUAGUGCUGAUCCCUCCUUGCCAGUGCCUCAGCCGCAGCUUGUUGGUUCCAGUUGGAGAAACGGGUCCCCCUGGGUCGUGGGAUGGGCCAGGGCUGGAAACCCAGUGGGUAGGUGAAGGAGAUUGUCAUGAAUGAGAAUAAGCCAGCAUUCUUACAGUGAAGUGUGUGUAGUAGGGGUGGGGGCAGGAAGGAGGGUGGUGGAAUGUUCUGGAAGGAAGGAGAAAGGGCACAGUACCCACAGUCCACAGGUCCUCAUCACUGCCUCCUCUCCUUCCUUAUCCUCUCUGUCUUCCAGGCUUCCCAACCAGCAAGUCUUUCCAGAUUGUCAGCAGAGCCCAGACCACACCUUAGCUCCACAGCCGCUUUGAAUUUAUGGAUGCAGUUAGCUAUGGUGUUUACUCUCCCUGCCCCUCUGUAUUGUUAACCUCCCCUCCCCCAAGCUGGACUCCCCUUGAAGGAGCUCUUUGUUUCCCCCUUAGUUGUAGCUUUUAUCAGACAGCAGUGGGGGUCAGAGGGUUUGAGUGGCAGGCUUCGCAGGCAGUCUGGUGACUGACUGUCUUGGUGGGUUUAAAGAAAACAGAGAGGGCUGAAGCACCCGGGGAGAUGCGUCCCCACGCCCCUGUAACUGAGAAACAAUACCACUCAAUAUUCCAACCGGCUGGGGCUGGAGCGAUGGCUCAGAAGUUCAGAAUGCUUGCUGCCCUUGCAGAGGACCUGAGUUUGGAGUCAGCACCUAAGUUGGGCAGCUCUCAACCACCUGUAAUUCCAGCUCCAGAGGAUCUGACACCCUCUUCUGGCCUCCUCAGGCACCUGCACUCACAUGCACA